ensembl:lncRNA
UAUAUAUGGAAAUAAAAUGGUUUCUUUCUCAAAGGUAAAUUGAUAUUUUUGCCUUUAAAUGUUCCUGGGAGAAAGACUAGAUUAGCCUGUACACGGAACUGGAGACAAACCCUCAGGAGAACUGUGUCCCGGGAUUUCUGUAGCAUUUCCUCUUAGCAUAGUUACUUACCUGAACACUGCAUUUGCUUUUUUGUUUGUUUGCUUGCUUUUCUCACCUUCCUGGGUCCAGUGAGUUCCGACUGACUCAACCUAUCUAACAGACAUUUCAAAGUUAAUCCACACAAAACUAAACACUUGAUCUACACUUCCCAGCUCCACUUGAAAGCCUCAGAAUCACCUGAAAUCCUACUUUCCCAAUCAAUGGAAUAUUCCACUCUGUCUGUUGUUUGGACCACAAACUCUUAAGUCAUUGUUCCAUCUUGUCUUUCCUCUCUGAAUCCUCUAGUUAGAAAUAUGUUCAUCAACUUAAAGAAUCUUACACUUUCAUAAGGUUCACAACUGCCCUGAAGCCCGGAACUUUAUAGACUUUAACAACCUCUGUCCAAUCAAUGUCCCUUUCCAGUUUGUAAUCAUAUUACGCUUUCAAAUGGAAGUUUUUAUUAGAAAAUGAUACAAAAUGAAAUAUGAUUCAUUUUCCAAAUAAUGCAUGAUACUUGAUACAUGAUACUUGAUACAUGAUACAGUUGUUUUAAUCAACAGAAAAUAAUAUCUUAACUGGUACUUCCCCUUUCUCUUCAAGUAUUGAAAGUAAGAAAGUCUUAUGCAGGAAAUACAUCAUGAAGGGGCUUAAGGACCAAAUAAAAGACUUUAAAUCUGUCUGAAUAGAUUCUGGAGAGCUUAGAUAUUCACAGUAUGACCAAAGAAUAGAGUUCCUCUGGCUCAGAUGGCUUUAAGCAUUAAUUAGAAAUUGCAAUAAGAAAAGACUGCCACCUACCAUGUGUGCAAGCAAAAGAGUUGAAUUUCUUCUGAAAACUCAUUGAGAACCUUAUUCUUUUGAGGUGCAUGUUUGAACCCUGGGUUGGGAAGAUCCUCUGGAAAAGAAAAUGGCAACCCACUCCAGCAUUCUUGUCUGGGAAAUCCCGUGGACAGAAGAGUCUGGCAGGCUACAGUCCAUGAGGUCACAAAAGAUUUGGAUAUGACUUAGCGACUAAACAACCGCUACCACUGCCUCAUAGUACAACAGCCUUCAAAUAUCUUAUGAUCUUGUCUGGGUAAGAAUUAUGUCUCUUUUGUUGUUGUUGUUGUUGGAAAGACUUGACAGGAUAUCAUAUAACAUUUUCUCCAGGAUUGUUCAAGUCUGCCAUUGAAUAUUCCAACCUUCUCCUUACACUGGCCUAUGUCUUUUGAACAGUUCCAAG